rnacentral:rRNA from 1 species
UACGGAGGGUGCAAUCGUUACUCGGAAUCACUGGGCGUAAAGGGCGCGCAUGCGGCCUAGCAAGUCUGGUGUGAAAGCCCAGGGCUCAACCCUGGAAGGGCACUGGAAACUGUUAGGCUUGAGUUCCGGAGAGGAGGGGGGAAUUCCCGGUGUAGCGGUGAAAUGCGUAGAUAUCGGGAGGAAUACCGGUGGCGAAGGCGCCCCUCUGGACGGAAACUGACGCUGAGGCGCCAAAGCGUGGGGAGCACACAGG